rnacentral:rRNA from 1 species
GAUGAACGCUAGCUACAGGCUUAACACAUGCAAGUCGAGGGGCAGCAUGCAGGUAGCUUGCUAUCUGUGAUGGCGACCGGCGCACGGGUGAGUAACGCGUAUCCAACCUUCCCCGUAGUAGGGCACAGCCCGGCGAAAGUCGGAUUAAUUCCCUAUGUUGUCCGAUGCAGGCAUCUAAGUUGGACGAAAGAUUCAUCGCCGAGGGAUGGGGAUGCGUAGGAUUAGGUAGUCGGCGGGGUAACGGCCCACCGAGCCAUCGAUCCUUAGGGGUUCUGAGAGGAAGGUCCCCCACACUGGAACUGAGACACGGUCCAGACUCC